rnacentral:rRNA from 1 species
CAACAGAGGGAAGCAAAACAGCGAUGUGGAGCAAACCCUAAAAACGUUCUCAGUUCAGAUUGCAGGCUGCAACCCGCCUGCAUGAAGUCGGAAUUGCUAGUAAUCGCGGAUCAGCAUGCCGCGGUGAAUACGUUUCCGGGCCUUGUACACACCGCCCGUCACACCAUGGGAGCCGGUAAUACCCGAAGUCAGUAGUCCAACCUCGUGAGGACGCUGCCGAAGGUAGGAUUGACGACUGGGGUGAAGUCGUAACAAGGUACC